rnacentral:rRNA from 1 species
UACGUAGGUGGCAAGCGUUGUCCGGAAUUACUGGGUGUAAAGGGAGCGCAGGCGGGACAGCAAGUCAGCGGUGAAAUACAUGGGCUUAACCCAUGAACUGCCGUUGAAACUGCCGUUCUUGAGUGGAUCAGAGGCAAGCGGAAUUCCGAGUGUAGCGGUGAAAUGCGUAGAUAUUCGGAGGAACACCAGUGGCGAAGGCGACUUGCUGGGGUCUAACUGACGCUGAGGCUCGAAAGUGUGGGGAGCAAACAGGAUUAGAUA